CACACUCUGUGUAAUAUGGCUUAACAUGCCAUAUUGUCUUGGCAGUUAUUCAUCAUUUUGUUUCUGAACUUUGAUGAAACAACAGAGAGAAAGAAAAGGUGGACAAUUUUGUUUCAAAUGAAAGGAAAUGUAAAUCUUGCUCCAGGAUGUAUGUAGCCAAGCCUGUCCUCUGUUGGAUCAUAAUUCUGUGCUUUAGGCAGGAAACUCAAGCCAAACCUACGAUCUCUAUGCUGAACCGAACCAGGGUGGCACUAGCAGGAGAAACUCUUCAUUUCAAACUGUUAGUGUGUAUCCCAGCAAACUACACCACUAACAAACUUAGAUUGUACCAUAAUCAGAGCAGAAGGAUAAUUUGGAGUAGAGAACUUAAAAGUGUAUUUUUUGAAACUACACAGUUGGAGAUGGCACGUAUCAAAAUGCGCAAUAGUUCCAGUUCUGGCAAUUACUACUUUUAUUAUACAGAUCAGAAGGUGCAUUGGGUGGUUCAAGUGAGAGAUAAGGGUUAUCAGCAGCAACUUGAGUUAGACAGUGCCAUCUUCACAAUGAUGGCAUUUUCAGGAACUCUGCUCAUCUUCAGUGUUGCUGGGUCACUUUACAUAGUAAAAAGCUACAAGAUAGUACAGGCAACAUUAUGAGAUUUUGUUGUGUCCAUGUUUCGACGCGUCGGAGCUGCUUUGACAACACAAGGGGGACCGACAUGAUAUAAGGCAGGUGUUUUUAAUGUUAUGGCUGAUCAGUAUUUAUGGACUCAUAACUAAACGGUAAAUGCCAGUUCAGAAAAGAUGACAUAUGUGCUAUUAUGCAAGAUGUAUAAAUAAAAUAAAAAUACAUUUUUAGGAACACCAUACUUGUAGAGAUGACAAAAAUGUCGCAGACCAGAGGCCAGGGUGGAGUGAUGAAGUGAUACUGGAUGAAGAUGCUGAAUCUACACAACUCUACACCGCGCUACAAUACAAAUCAAGCUCCAUUUAUGAUACAGUGCAUCUAGACGUGAUGCAUGAAGAAUACACAAAGAAAACAUCUGAUGAAAAUGUUUGUUUUAUAAAUGGUGUAAUAUUAUGGCAUGUAUACCUACAUUAAAACAAAAUUGUCAUAAAAAUUUAAUGUAUAGCUUUAAGGUAUUGAAUGUAUAAACAGAGUUCAUAACUCAAGCAUGUGUUUACUGAUAUGGAAGCAUAUGGGUAGCAUUAUUCAA